UGCGCAGGCGGAUUUGUAAGUCUGAUGUAAAAUGGUAGUGCUCAACACUAUCAAGCGUUGGAAACUGCAAAACUAGAGUUCAAGAGGGGAUGUUGGAAUUCCAGGUGUAGGGGUGAAAUCUGUAGAUAUCUGGAAGAACACCAAUGGCGAAGGCAAACAUCUGGCUAUGAACUGACGCUGAGGCACGAAGGUGCGGGGAGCGAACAGGAUUAGAUACCCUGGUAGUCC
rnacentral:rRNA from 1 species